AGUGAACGCUGGCGGUAGGCCUAACACAUGCAAGUCGAACGGCAGCACAGUAAGAGCUUGCUCUUACGGGUGGCGAGUGGCGGACGGGUGAGGAAUACAUCGGAAUCUACUUUUUCGUGGGGGAUAACGUAGGGAAACUUACGCUAAUACCGCAUACGACCUACGGGUGAAAGCAGGGGAUCUUCGGACCUUGCGCGAUUGAUUGAGCCGAUGUCGGAUUAGCUAGUUGGCGGGGUAAAGGCCCACCAAGGCGACGAUCCGUAGCUGGUCUGAGAGGAUGAUCAGCCACACUGGAACUGAGACACGGUCCAGACUCCUACGGGAGGCAGCAGUGGGGAAUAUUGGACAAUGGGCGCAAGCCUGAUCCAGCAAUACCGCGUGGGUGAAGAAGGCCUUCGGGUUGUAAAGCCCUUUUGUUGGGAAAGAAAAGCAGCAGGUUAAUACCCCGCUGUUCUGACGGUACCCAAAGAAUAAGCACCGGCUAACUUCGUG
rnacentral:rRNA from 1 species